rnacentral:rRNA from 1 species
AUUGAACGCUGGCAGCAGGCCUAACACAUGCAAGUCGAGCGAGCGGCGGACGGGUGAGUAAUGUCUGGGAAACUGCCUGAUGGAGGGGGAUAACUACUGGAAACGGUAGCUAAUACCGCAUACCAUCAGAUGUGCCCAGAUGGGAUGAGCUAGUAGUGGGGGUAACGGCUCACCUAGGCGACGCUCCCUAGCUGGUCUGAGAGGAUGACCAGCAACACCGGAACUGAGACAAGGUCCAGACUCCGACGGGAGGCAGCAGUGGGGAAUAUUGUACAAUUGGCACAAUCCUGAUGCAGCCAUGCCGCGUGUGUGAAGAGGGCCUUCGGGUUGUAAAGCACCUUCAGCGGGGAGGCGUUACCCGCAGAAGAAGCACCGGCUAACGCUGUGACAGCAGCCGCGGUCAUUC